UAUAGUAAGGCUUAACAUGACCAGUCCUGAACUCGGAUUUUAUCAAUAUUCUGAUAAAUAAUUAAAUUUUCAAUUAAGUGAACUGCUUAAAUUUAUUUUGACCGAAUGGCAAAGUUUUGAGUAUGUUUGAUCUCAGACGUCCUGUGGGUCUGUACAUAUUUGAAGGUUUUAAAUUAUUUUCAAAUGGAUAAAACAACCUUAAAUUAAAUGAAAAACUGAUUAUAUUGUCAAACUUGUAUAAGAUGACAGAGCACACACCCGAGUCGGAUCUUGGCAGUAUAGAGUGUUUCCAGAAUUAUACCGCUUCUGAAGUGUUUAUCCAAGGACUUGCUGGAAUGGUGCAUCAGCAGGACGUUGAGUCGAUGAUCCGAGCGCAGAAACAAAUGCUUCAAAGGUUUGAAAAGACUAACGAGAUGCUGAUGAACUGCAAUACGCUAUGCGUUACUAGGCUCAGAACCGCUGCGACCGAAUUUAAAAAACACACCAGCCUUUUGAUCGAGAUGAGGAAGGAUCUUGAUAACAUUUUCAACCGGAUACAAACCAUCAAGUCGAGAACAAGUUCCCUUUAUCCGGACGCUUUUGCAGCUGCACCUAAGGACAUAGCAGAUGAGGAGGCCAAUGUAAAAGAACAACCGCAGAACAUCAAUCAGAAUAUAUUAGAAAGUGCAGAAAAAGUCAAAGAUUUUUUAAUGAAUCAAAGAUUAAAAAGGAGUAACAGUUCAUCGAGUGAAAGUGUCAACGGAAGCCAUAAUGACUCUUCGCCAUGCACAUCAGACACUGAUCUUGUUAAUAUUUGGGGUCUGCUCGGCUGAAAAUAUCCUGCUCAACCGUUAUGGGCUACCACCCAGUGAGCAGGCUGCAUUUCCCAUCAUUGAAACGUCACCAGUCCAAACAUCAACUGAAACCAUUGCCCAAGGAGAAGAGAAUCCACUGUCGAUACCGAUUAAUUCUAGAUUGAGCAUCCAAGACCAACGUCUACAAUACACCCAUGGAUUCUCUGAUGAUUCCGGGACGACGGUUAGCGAACAGGGACGACUCUUAUCGACCAACGAAGGCUGGGAGUAUGUCAUCGUCAAAAAAGGUUCUUAUUCAUACAUAAGUCCCGAGGGAGUUAGAGUCAAAGUCAACUACAUCGCAGACCACAAUGGCUUUAGAAUUGUCUAAAUAAAAAACUCCGAAAUUUUUAACUUGAAAUAAAUAAAAAAUUUAAAUAAUAAAAAAAUAAAUAAAAUAAAAACAGGAAGAACAAAAUGUAUAAACCGGUCC